GACGAACGCUGGCGGCGUGCUUAACACAUGCAAGUCGAACGGACAGACAGAGAGCUUGCUCUCUUGAAGUUAGUGGCGAACGGGUGAGUAACGCGUAAUCAACCUGCCCUUCAGAGGGGGAUAACAACGGGAAACCGUUGCUAAUACCGCGUACGAUUCAUGAACGGCAUCGUUUAUGAAUGAAAGGUGGCCUCUAUGUAUAAGCUAUCGCUGAAGGAGGGGAUUGCGUCUGAUUAGCUAGUUGGAGGGGUAACGGCCCACCAAGGCAAUGAUCAGUCGCCGGUCUGAGAGGAUGAACGGCCACAUUGGGACAGAGACACGGCCCAAACUCCUACGGGAGGCAGCAGUGGGGAAUCUUCCGCAAUGGACGAAAGUCUGACGGAGCAACGCCGCGUGAGUGAUGAAGGUCUUCGGAUUGUAAAGCUCUGUUAAUCGGGACGAAAGAGUUCUGCGUGAAUAAUGCAGAAAAGUGACGGUACCGGAAUAGAAAGCCACGGCUAACUACGUGCCAGCCGCCGCGGUAA
rnacentral:rRNA from 1 species